UACGAAGGUGGCGAAUGUUGCUCGGAUUCACUGGGCGUAAAGCGUCGGUAGGAGGCUUGUUAAGUUAGGUGUGAAAGCCCCGCGCUCAACGUGGGAAUUGCACUUAAAACUAACUGGCUUGAAGGUAUGAGAGGAAGGCGGAAUAACUGGUGUAGAGGUAAAAUUCAUAGAUAUCAGUUGGAACACCCAUGGCGAAGGCGGCUUUCUGGCAUAUUCUUGACUCUGAGCGACGACAGCGUGGGGAGCAAACAGG
rnacentral:rRNA from 1 species